rnacentral:rRNA from 1 species
AGCUCUGUAAGCGUAUACCAAAGUUGUUGCAGUUAAAACGCUCGUAGUCGGAUUUUGGCGUCGAGCUACUGAGGCUUCGUAAAGAUGUCGAUGUAGUUCCGCCUUUGUGGAUGGGGGCGUGGUGGUACUUUAUUGUAUUGCUUCGUUUCCGCCGCUGUUUACUGUGAAAAAAUUAAAGUGUUCAAAGCGAGCGAUUGUCAUGAAUAAAUUAGCAUGGAAUAAUAGAAUAGGACCUGGUCCUGUUUUGUUGGUUUGUCUGUAUCAGGUAAUGAUUAAGAGGGACGGUCGGGGGCAUUUGUAUUCCAGCGCUAGAGGUGAAAUUCUUGGAUUGCUGGAAGACAAACAGCUGCGAAAGCGUCUGCCAAGGACGUUUUCA